UACGUAGGGUGCGAGCGUUAUUCGGAAUUACUGGGCGUAAAGCGUGCGCAGGCGGUUUUGUAAGCCAGAUGUGAAAUCCCCGGGCUCAACCUGGGAAUGGCAUUUGGGACUGCAAGGCUGGAGUUUGGCAGAGGAGACUGGAAUUCCUGGUGUAGCAGUGAAAUGCGUAGAUAUCAGGAGGAAUACCGAUGGCGAAGGCAGGUCUCUGGGCUAUAACUGACGCUCAUGCACGAAAGCGUGGGGAGCAAACAGG
rnacentral:rRNA from 1 species